AUGUCUUCCUUUUUCUUGUCCACACUAGUUUUCUUCCUUGCUGCUCUUAUCCUUGUUCCUCAAGGGCUUGCUCAGUAUCACCUUAAUCCAGCUUAUGAACCACCAGUGAACGGGCCACCGGUGAAUAAGCCACCCCAAAAAGAGACACCGGUGCAUAAACCACCACAAAAAGAGCCACCGAGGCAUAAGCCACCGCACAAGAAGUCACAUUUGCACGUGACAAAACCAUCUUAUGGCAAACAUCCUACAGAAGAACAUAACAUCCAUUUCUAA